CGGUAAUACGGAGGGUGCAAGCGUUAAUCGGAAUUACUGGGCGUAAAGCGGCACGCAGGCGGUCUGUCAAGUCGGAUGUGAAAUCCCCGGGCUCAACCUGGGAACUGCAUUCGAAACUGGCAGGCUUGAGUCUUGUAGAGGGGGGUAGAAUUCCAGGUGUAGCGGUGAAAUGCGUAGAGAUCUGGAGGAAUACCGGUGGCGAAGGCGGCCCCCUGGACAAAGACUGACGCUCAGGUGCGAAAGCGUGGGGAGCAAACAGGAUUAGAUACCCUGGUAGUCCACGCCGUAAACGAUGUCUACUUGGAGGUUGUGCCCUUGAGGCGUGGCUUCCGGAGCUAACGCGUUAAGUAGACCGCCUGGGGAGUACGGCCGCAAGGUUAAAACUCAAAUGAAUUGACGGGGGCCCGCACAAGCGGUGGAGCAUGUGGUUUAAUUCGAUGCAACGCGAAGAACCUUACCUGGUCUUGACAUCCACAGAAUCCAGAAUGGAUUGUGCCUUCGGGAACUGUGAAACAGGUGCUGCAUGGCUGUCGUCAGCUCGUGUUGUGAA
rnacentral:rRNA from 1 species